rnacentral:rRNA from 1 species
UGCGAGUCGACACAGCAAUGUGUGGCAUACGGCUCAGUAACACGUAGUCAACAUGCCCAGGGGACGUGGAUAACCUCGGGAAACUGAGGAUAAACCGCGAUAGGUCACUACUUCUGGAAUGGGUAAUGACCCAAACCUAUAUGGCCCCUGGAUUGGACUGCGGCCGAUCAGGCUGUUGGUGAGGUAAUGGCCCACCAAACCUGUAACCGGUACGGGCUCUGAGAGGAGGAGCCCGGAGAUGGGCACUGAGACAAGGGCCCAGGCCCUAUGGGGCGCAGCAGGCGCGAAACCUCUGCAAUAGGCGAAAGCUUGACAGGGUUACUCUGAGUGAUUUCCGUUAAGGAGAUCUUUUGGCACCUCUAAAAAUGGUGCAGAAUAAGGGGUGGGCAAGUCUGGUGUCAGCCGCCGCGGUAAUACCAGCACCCCGAGUGGUCGGGACGUUUAUUGGGCCUAAAGCAUCCGUAGCCGGUUCCACAAGUCUUCCGUUAAAUCCACCUGCUCAACAGAUGGGCUGCGGAAGAUACUAUGGAGCUAGGAGGCGGGAGAGGCAAGCGGUACUCGAUGGGUAGGGGUAAAAUCCGUUGAUCCAUUGAAGACCACCAGUGGCGAAGGCGGCUUGCCAGAACGCGCUCGACGGUGAGGGAUGAAAGCUGGGGGAGCAAACCGGAUUAGAUACCCGGGUAGUCCCAGCUGUAAACGAUGCAGACUCGGUGAUGAGUUGGCUUUAUGCCAACUCAGUGCCGCAGGGAAGCCGUUAAGUUUGCCGCCUGGGGAGUACGGUCGCAAGACUGAAACUUAAAGGAAUUGGCGGGGGA